rnacentral:rRNA from 2 species
UGGGGAAUAUUAGGCAAUGGGGGAAACCCUGACCUAGCAACGCCGCGUGAAGGAUGAAGGUCUUCGGAUUGUAAACUUCUUUGGCCCGGGACGAUAAUGACGGUACCGGGAGAACAAGCCACGGCUAACUACGUGCCAGCAGCCGCGGUAAUACGUAGGUGGCAAGCGUUGUCCGGAAUUACUGGGUGUAAAGGGCGAGUAGGCGGGUGCACAAGUCAGAUGUGAAAAUCCGGGGCUCAACCCCGGACCUGCAUUUGAAACUGUGCGUCUUGAGUGAUGGAGAGGCAGGCGGAAUUCCCGGUGUAGCGGUGAAAUGCAUAGAGAUCGGGAGGAACACCAGUGGCGAAGGCGGCCUGCUGGACAUUAACUGACGCUGAGGCGCGAAAGUGUGGGGAGCAAACAGG